GCAGUCGUGGCCGAGUGGUUAAUGCGGUGGACUAGAAAUCCAUUGGGGUCUCCCCACACAGGUUCGAAUCCUGUUGACUGCG
rnacentral:tRNA from 2 species